rnacentral:lncRNA from 1 species
UUGGGAAAUUUCUCACUCAUAUUAUUAUAACUUCUUUUAUUUGAAUGGGCACAGUUACAGUCCACAGUUUUUAUUCUCAGACACCUAAUUACAGCCAAAUUCUAGGUCAUUCUCUUUAGAGAAAUCUCAAAGACAAUGGCAGGCUUUUGGAUUAAAACAUUUUCUCAGUGAUUUUGGAAGCAAACUUGUUUUCAGUGUUUACAGAAGGGCCAGAGGUGAAACCAUUAGCAGCACCUGCCUUUUUAGUGUCUUCUAUACCAGGAAUUCCAGGUACCUGGAGCUCAAAGUAAAAGCUCUAAAGUACAUAGGAUUCUCCCAGGCACUGUGCUGGUUCUUGCACAUGCUGGUAAAUAUCUGAGUUUCUAUGCUUAUGACUGACAAAUGAAAUGACAAAAACAUCA